rnacentral:lncRNA from 1 species
AGUGCCUGUGAAAGAGCUCAAGGUUGAAGGGAUCACCCUCUCGCACUUUUGCCAUAUGAGGACACAGCAUUCACCCCCCUUUCUUUGCCUUUCCAUCCCUUCUGCCAUGUGGGGACACAGCAAGAAGGCCCUUACCAGACACAAAACCUGCCAGUGCCUUGAUCUUGGACUUCCUAGCCUCCACAACUAUAAGAAAUGAAUUUCUGUUCCUUAUGAAUUACCCAGUCUGUGAUAUUGUGUUUUAGCAGCACAGAUGGACUAAGAUAGUGGGGAGCUUCCUCCUGGGCCUCCUGGAGAGCCCACACCCUCCCUGCCCUCUCCCACACUCCUGCUUCCCUGACUCUCCAAUAGAUGUCUCUGCAGGAAUCCCCUUCUCAGGCUCUGCUGCUAGGAAGAUCAACCUAAGAUACAUUGCCUUGUCCAUCGUAUGCACCUCUUGCCUGCCUGUAAAGCUUUCUCUGGCGAUGUAAGACUGGCAAGUGCAGACAACAUAGGAAGCACCCGGGGCCAAGUGGGUUCCUGCAGUCUGGCAGGUAUGGAGGGAGUGCCAUAGAGUGGGCAUAUAUGAAAGCCACUCUGCCAGGGCCCAGAGCUGAGGAAACCAGCGCAUGGCCUUCCCUGGGGCACUCAGGCAUACACCACCACUCCUUGGUGAGCUGGCUCUCCUGAUGCCAAUACUCACUCCUUAGCCUUCCUUCCUUACUUCUAAUGCCAGAAGAAAAAGUAGGGGGAGGCUUUGGGCUUUGGGUUCUAUAGGGGCUUACAACAACAGGGCUUCAUUUUCUCAAGUCCCACGGCCACUGGACCCUUGAAGUUUGGGCUUCUAGAGUGGCCCAGGGAGAAGGUGGAACUUUCUCCCACCUGCCCAAGGCUCACCUCCCUUUUCCAGGGCACUGACAGUAGACAUGUGUGCCCCCUUCAACCCCACCACUCCCAGGGGACACCCUGCAAGUUUCCUGCAAGGUCAUGGCCUUACCCUGUGACUGCCACAGGUCCACUCCUCCAGAUAUAUGUAGGAAAGCCCAGAAUUCAUCUCAGAGAUGAACACAUACAAUUUUUCCCGUCUUUGUUCCUGCACUAGAUGGUAAACUCCAGGAAGGCAAGAAUCAUGUCUUGCUUACCUUAGUAGCUCCCAUGGUAGCAAGAAUAUAAUUUAUUUUUCUGAAUUGGAAGAGUCCUUAGAGAAAUGUGGUAUAAUUUCCUAGGGCAAAGUCUUGUGCUCAAUCUCAUUAAAUGAGUGAAGGCACAUUUUCUUUUGAAUAGGAUCUUGCAAUAACUUGAGUCAAAGCAUAUUAAAGUGGCUUUUUAGAGUCAAUUUAUAUUUUUAUGUAUAUUUUAGGGCAGGGAAGCCUAUAGGUAUCCUCAAACUCUAUUAAAUGAGAAGACACCUUUUGAUGCUCUCUCUUGCCACUCUUACUCAGUAUAGUAUUGGGACAGGCAACAGAAAGAAAUAAAGCACAUCCAAAUAGGAAGAGAGGAAGGCAAAUCAUCCCUGUUUGCAGUCGACAUGAUCCUAUAUAUAGAAAACUCCACAGUCUUGGCCCAAAAGCUCCUUAAGCUGAUUAACAACUUCAGCAAAGUCUCAGAAUUAAAAAAAAAUCAGUGCACAAAAAUCACUACCAUUCCUAUACACCAACAAUAGUCAAGCCAAAACAAUUCCAUUCAUAACUGCCACAAAAAGAAUAAAAUACUAGGAAUACAGCUAAUCAGGGAGGUGAAAGAUUUCUACAAUGAGAACUACAAAACACUGCUCAAAGAAAUCAGACAGGACACAAACAAAAGGAAAAACAUUCCAUGUUCAAGGAGAGGAAGAAUCAAUAUUGUUAAAAUGCCCAUACUCCCCAAAGCAAUUUAUAGAUUUAAUGCUAUUAUUUUAAAAAUAACAUUGAGAUUCCUUAUAGUGCUAGAAAAAACUGUUUAAAAAAUUCAUAUGCAACCAAAAAAGAGCUUGAAUAGCCAAGGAAGUCCUAAGCAAAAGAGCAAAGCUAAAGACAUCAGGUUACCUGACUUCAAACUAUGCUACGGGGCUACAGUAACCAAAACAGCAGGGUACUUGUAUGAAAACUGACACACAGACUAAUAGAACAGAAUAAAGAGCCCAGAACUAAAGCCACACACCUACAACUAUCUGAUAUUUGGCAAAUCUGACAAAAACAAGCAAUGGGGAAAGCACUGUCUAUUCAAUAACUGGAGCUGGGAUAGCUGGCUAGCCAUAUGUGGAAGAUUGAAAUUGGACCCCUUCCUUACACCAUAUACAAAAAUUAACUCAAGAUGGAUUAAAGACUUAAAUGUAAAACCCAAACAUAUAAAAACCCUAGGAGACAACCUAGGCAAUACCAUUCUGGACACAGGAAUAGGCAAAGAUUUCAUAAUGAAGACACCAAAAGCAAUUGCAAGAAAAGCAAAAAUUGGGAUCUAAUUUUCUCCAAAAUUUUGUCUAAAAAUUAGACAAAUGGGAUUUAAUUAAACUAGAGAGCUUCUGCACAGCAAAAGAAACUAUCAAUAGAGUAGACAGAAAACCUACAGAAUGGGAGAAAAUUUUUGCAAACUAUGCGUCUGAUAAAGGUCUAAUAUCCAGCAUCUAUAGGGAACUUAAAUUUACAAGGAAAAAACAACUCUGUUGAAAAGUGGGCAAAGAACAUGAACCAACACUUCUCAAAAGAAGAUACAUGCAGCCAACAAGCAUAUGAAAAAGCUGAACAUCACCAAUCAUUAGAGAAAUGCAAGUCAAGACCAUAAUGUGAUACCAUCUCAUGCCAUGUCAGCAAAUGCAAAGCAGAGGUGUAAAUGGUACAAGCACAUUCCCACUUGACCUCCUGCACACUUGGGCUUGCUCACUCCUGCACCUCUACCUUGCCAUGAGAACACAUCUCAGCCAGCCUCAUUGAGUGAUGCGAGAGACAUGUGGAGAAGAGCCAAGAUCAUCUUAGAACAAGCUGACGGGCCAGCUGAUCCCCUAAAAUGUGAGUGAGCCCAGCCAAGGUCACCUGAGCUGGGGCUUCUUCAGCAGAACUGCCCAGCUGACCCAUGGAUUGGUGAGAAUAAAAAAUGGUUGUUUCAGGA